rnacentral:rRNA from 1 species
CCUACGGGAGGCAGCAGUGGGGAAUCUUGCGCAAUGGCCGAGAGGCUGACGCAGCGACGCCGCGUGGGGGAUGAAGCAUUUCGGUGUGUAAACCCCUGUUGCUCGGGACGAACGAUCCUUUUCGAGGGAUGUGACGGUACCGAGUGAGGAAGCACCGGCUAACUCCGUGCCAGCAGCCGCGGUAAUACGGAGGGUGCGAGCGUUGUCCGGAAUCACUGGGCGUAAAGGGCGCGUAGGUGGUUGGAUGCGCCGGUGGUGAAAGCGCAGGGCUCAACCCUGCGUCGGCCAUCGGGACGGUCCGACUGGAGCACUGUAGAGGCAGGUGGAAUUCCGGGUGUAGCGGUGGAAUGCGUAGAGAUCCGGAAGAACACCGGUGGCGAAGGCGGCCUGCUGGGCAGUUGCUGACACUGAGGCGCGACAGCGUGGGGAGCAAACAGGAUUAGAUACCCUGGUAGUCCACGCCGUAAACGAUGGGCACUAGGUGCUUGGGGGGCGACCCCCUGAGUGCCGACGCUAACGCAUUAAGUGCCCCGCCUGGGGAGUACGACCGCAAGGUUGAAACUCAAAANAGAAGUAGAGCGUGAGAGNGCGAGACGACACGAGGAGGAGG